UACGUAGGGCGCAAGCGUUAUCCGGAAUUAUUGGGCGUAAAGAGCUCGUAGGCGGUUUGUCGCGUCUGCCGUGAAAGUCCGGGGCUCAACCCCGGAUCUGCGGUGGGUACGGGCAGACUAGAGUGAUGUAGGGGAGACUGGAAUUCCUGGUGUAGCGGUGAAAUGCGCAGAUAUCAGGAGGAACACCGAUGGCGAAGGCAGGUCUCUGGGCAUUAACUGACGCUGAGGAGCGAAAGCAUGGGGAGCGAACAGG
rnacentral:rRNA from 2 species